rnacentral:rRNA from 1 species
UGGGGAAUAUUGCACAAUGGGCGCAAGCCUGAUGCAGCCAUGCCGCGUGUAUGAAGAAGGCCUUCGGGUUGUAAAGCACUUUCAGCGGGGAGGAAGGCGUUAAGGUUAAUAACCUUGGCGAUUGACGUUACCCGCAGAAGAAGCACCGGCUAACUCCGUGCCAGCAGCCGCGGUAAUACGGAGGGUGCAAGCGUUAAUCGGAAUUACUGGGCGUAAUGCGCACGCAGGCGGUCUGUCAAGUCGGAUGUGAAAUCCCCGGGCUCAACCUGGGAACUGCAUUCGAAACUGGCAGGCUAGAGUCUUGUAGAGGGGGGUAGAAUUCCAGGUGUAGCGGUGAAAUGCGUAGAGAUCUGGAGGAAUACCGGUAGCGAGGGCGGCCCCGUGGACAAAGACAGACGCUCAGGUGCGAAAGAGUGGGGAGCAAACAGG